rnacentral:rRNA from 1 species
CCUACGGGUGGCAGCAGUGAGGAAUAUUGGUCAAUGGGCGAGAGCCUGAACCAGCCAAGUCGCGUGAGGGAGUACUGCCCUAUGGGUUGUAAACCUCUUUUGUCGGGGAGCAAAAGCCGGACGUGUCCGGCUGUGAGAGUACCCGAAGAAAAAGCAUCGGCUAACUCCGUGCCAGCAGCCGCGGUAAUACGGAGGAUGCGAGCGUUAUCCGGAUUUAUUGGGUUUAAAGGGUGCGCAGGCGGAUUUUUAAGUCAGCGGUAAAAUCGUGGGGCUCAACCCCAUCCAGCCGUUGAAACUGGGGAUCUAGAGUGUGCGAGAGGUAUGCGGAAUGCGGGGUGUAGCGGUGAAAUGCAUAGAUAUCACGCAGAACCCCGAUUGCGAAGGCAGCAUACCGGUGCACAACUGACGCUCAGGCACGAAAGCGUGGGUAUCGAACAGGAUUAGAUACCCCAGUAGUC